rnacentral:rRNA from 1 species
AUGAACGCUGGCGGCGUGCUUAACACAUGCAAGUCGAACGAAGCACUCUAUUUGAUUUCCUUCGGGAUUGAUUAUUUUGUGACUGAGUGGCGGACGGGUGAGUAACGCGUGGGUAACCUGCCUUGUACAGGGGGAUAACAGUUGGAAACGGCUGCUAAUACCGCAUAAGCGCACAGUACCGCAUGGUAUAGUGUGAAAAACUCCGGUGGUAUAAGAUGGACCCGCGUUUGAUUAGCUAGUUGGUGGGGUAACGGCCUACCAAGGCGACGAUCAAUAGCCGACCUGAGAGGGUGACCGGCCACAUUGGGACUGAGACACGGCCCAAACUCCUACGGGAGGCAGCAGUGGGGAAUAUUGCACAAUGGGCGAAAGCCUGAUGCAGCGACGCCGCGUGAGCGAAGAAGUAUUUCGGUAUGUAAAGCUCUAUCAGCAGGGAAGAUAAUGACGGUACCUGACUAAGAAGCACCGGCUAAAUACGUGCCAGCAGCCGCGGUAAUACGUAUGGUGCAAGCGUUAUCCGGAUUUACUGGGUGUAAAGGGAGCGCAGGCGGUGCGGCAAGUCUGAUGUGAAAGCCCGGGGCUCAACCCCGGUACUGCAUUGGAAACUGUCGUACUAGAGUGUCGGAGGGGUAAGCGGAAUUCCUAGUGUAGCGGUGAAAUGCGUAGAUAUUAGGAGGAACACCAGUGGCGAAGGCGGCUUACUGGACGAUAACUGACGCUGAGGCUCGAAAGGGUGGGGAGCAAACAGGAUUAGAUACCCUGGUAGUCCACGCAGUAAACGAUGAUAGCUCGUUGUCGGCGAUACACAGUCGGUGACUAAGAGAAAUCGAUAAGCUAUCCACCUGGGGAGUACGUUCGCAAGAAUGAAACUCAAAGGAAUUGACGGGGGCCCGCACAAGCAGUGGAGUAUGUGGUUUAAUUCGACGCAACGCGAAGAACCUUACCAAGUCUUGACAUCCUGCGACGAUGCUGGAAACAGUAUUUUCCUUCGGGACGCAGAGACAGGUGGUGCAUGGUUGUCGUCAGCUCGUGUCGUGAGAUGUUGGGUUAAGUCCCGCAACGAGCGCAACCCUUAUUGCCAGUUACUACGCAAGAGGACUCUGGCGAGACUGCCGUUGACAAAACGGAGGAAGGUGGGGAUGACGUCAAAUCAUCAUGCCCCUUAUGACUUGGGCUACACACGUGCUACAAUGGCGUAAACAAAGGGAAGCAAAGCUGUGAGGCCGAGCAAAUCUCAAAAAUAACGUCUCAGUUCGGACUGUAGUCUGCAACCCGACUACACGAAGCUGGAAUCGCUAGUAAUCGCAGAUCAGAAUGCUGCGGUGAAUACGUUCCCGGGUCUUGUACACACCGCCCGUCACACCAUGGGAGUUGGGAAUGCCCGAAGCCAGUGACCUAACCGUAAGGAAGGAGCUGUCGAAGGCAGGCUCGAUAACUGGGGUG